rnacentral:rRNA from 1 species
UACGUAGGGGGCAAGCGUUGUCCGGAAUCAUUGGGCGUAAAGAGCGUGUAGGCGGCCUGGUAAGUCCGCUGUGAAAGUCCAGGGCUCAACCCUGGAAUGCCGGUGGAAACUGUCAGGCUCGAGUCCGGAAGAGGCGAGUGGAAUUCCUGGUGUAGCGGUGAAAUGCGCAGAUAUCAGGAGGAACACCAAUGGCGAAGGCAGCUCGCUGGGACGGUACUGACGCUGAGGCGCGAAAGCGUGGGGAGCGAACAGG